GCAAUUUAAGAUGACCUUAAUUGGCUUAAAUUUAAUAGUCAACCAUGGACUGAAGUGUGUCAUAAAUGGAAAUCAACUUCAAAAUUUAGGUUGAAAUGUUUUCAAUCUGGCACCAAAGACAUUCCAAAUUUUAAACUUCUUUUGGAUCUAAAAGCAGAUGCAUUGUCAGUUGAAAAUGCUGAGCAAUCAAUUAAUAACAUCAGGAACUUAUAUAAUGACCUGAAGCUGACACUUCAACCUUUAGUUUAUGCUGUUCCACCAAACAUUGCUGUUGUUGUGUACAACAAUCACAGAUGGUCAUUUAAAACCCCUUUAAAAGCAAUGGAUUUUUCGU
rnacentral:misc_RNA from 1 species